UGCCAGCAGCCGCGGUUACACCAAGGAAUUAAGUCAUAUCCAAAUGGUAAAAAGACAGUUAAACUUUAAGAAUCUUAAGCUUUUUGACCAUUUAUAGAAAAGUAAAAUUUAUAUAUAAAUGUGUAAUCUAAUAAUAGCUAUAAGUUGAAUCUGUGACAGCCUGGAGGGAAACUGGGAUUAGAUACCCCAUUAUUCCUGGUUAUAAAAUAAAUUAAAUUUACCAGAGUACUAUGAAUAUAACAAAAUUUAAAACUCAAAGGACUUGGCGGUGUUUUAGACCACUUAGGGGAACCUGUCUCAUAAUCGACAAUCCACGUUAGACCUAACCUUUUUUUGCUUUCAGCUUGUAUACCGUUGUCGUCAGGUAACUUUUUAGAAUUUAGGAGUUAGCUAAAAAUAGUAAAUUUAAACGUCAAAUCAAGGUGCAGCCAACAAAAAGGUGAGGAUGGGUUACAAUUAUUUAAUUAUAAUUACGGAAUAUUAUAAGAAUUAGAUAAUAUGAAGGAGGACUUAAAAGUAAAUUAAAUUAUAUAAAUAAUUUGAAUUAGGCUCUAAAAUGUGCACACAUCGCCCGUCACUCU
rnacentral:rRNA from 1 species